GGAAAAUAAACCAUGUUCAUUGCAGUGUGCCUCUGUUAGGAGAGUGCUUCUCUCUCUGUGGCUCGCUCCGUUUUUUGACGACUUAUAGAGAGCGUGUGUGCAGGCACAGGCCCUUUAUGUGCUCUCUGCUCUCUCUGUGCUUUCUCUCUUUUUUCACUUUCUGUUUAUCAUGACUAUUUUGUCAGGAGCUGGUUGAGAGAGACUUGGCAGGAGAGUGGCAGAGCUGGAUUUGUGCGAAAGAACAACCGCAGAAAAGAAGUGCAUAGAGAAGAGUUUGUUUUGAACUUUUCUGUCUUCCAGCAUGAGAAGAUGGAAGUCUUUUGAAGAACAAAGAGAUAAAGAGGGACUGAAAGAUGUACGACGUGCAAACAACAAGGUGGCUGAGUCAACCUUUGUCUUAACGAGGAGAUGGAGAUGGUCUAUCGUCAAUGGUUUUUAUGUCUAGUGCUGUGUGGUGCGAGAUGGACAUGACGGUGUGUUUCGGGUUGUGACUGACUGGGCAGACACUGGAGAUGACAGGAUGCCUCUGGGGGUGAAGGAGAACGGGGGGUCUGUCAGAUCAUACAAGGUGACAGACAUCUCAGCUUGGAUGUCGGCCCACCUCUUCAAGCUCAGUCUCGACAAGACAGAGCGGCUCUUCCUACCAGGGAAGGCCUACCUGCUCCAAGAAAUCUCUGUCCCAUUUGAUAACUCCACGGUGUCCCCCUCCUAGAUUGCAAAGAACCUUGGCAUGUCAGUCAUUGCAAACAUCAAUGCAGUGACUCGGUCCUGCAGGUUCAUGCUCUACAACAUCCACAGACUACGACCUUUCCUCACACAGGAAGCGAGGGGCUAAUUCAGGCACUUGUCA